AGUUUGGGGUUUGGGGUUUCAGGUUUGGGGUUUGGGGUUUGGGGUUUGGGGUUUCGGGUUUCGGGUUUCGGGUUUGGGGUUUGGGGUUUGGGGUUUAGAGGUUUCGGGGUUUGAGGUUUGGGGUUUGGGGUUUCAGGUUUGGGGUUUGGGGUUUGGGGUUUAGGGUUUCAGGUUUGGGGUUUGGGGUUUGGGGUUUAGAGGUUUCGGAUUUUAGGGAUUUAAACAUAAUACUCGUUAAUUCCACGUAAGCAGAAAUCAUCGUAAACACCACGUAAAAGGAUUUAAACAAAACACUCGUUAAUUCCACGUAAGCCCAAAUCGUCGUGAAGACCACGUAUAAGAAAUCGUCGUAAAUUCCACGUAAGCAGAAAUCGUCGUAAAUACCUCGUAAUGUAAAAACUAGAAAAAAAAGGAAAAGGAGAAAAAUACCAGAUUAACAUGU
rnacentral:lncRNA from 1 species